GACGUAGGGCGCGAGCGUUGUCCGGAUUUAUUGGGCGUAAAGAGCUCGUAGGCGGUCUGUCGCGUCUGCUGUGAAAAUCCAGGGCUCAACCCUGGACCUGCAGUGGGUACGGGCAGACUAGAGUGCGGUAGGGGGGAUCGGAAUUCCUGGUGUAGCGGUGGAAUGCGCAGAUAUCAGGAGGAACACCGAUGGCGAAGGCAGUUCUCUGGGCCGUAACUGACGCUGAGGAGCGAAAGCGUGGGGAGCGAACAGG
rnacentral:rRNA from 1 species